rnacentral:rRNA from 1 species
AAAUUGAAGAGUUUGAUCAUGGCUCAGAUUGAACGCUGGCGGCAGGCCUAACACAUGCAAGUCGAGCGGUAGCACAGAGCUUGCCUCGGGUGACGAGCGGACGGUGAGUAAUGUCUGGGAAACUGCCUGAUGGAGGGGGAUAACUACUGAAACGGUAGCUAAUACCGCAUAAUGUCGCAAGACCAAAGUGGGGACCUUCGGGCCUCAUGCCAUCAGAUGUGCCCAGAUGGGAUUAGCUAGUAGGGUAACGGCUCACCUAGGCGACGAUCCCUAGCUGGUCUGAGAGGAUGACCAGCCACACUGGAACUGAGACACGGUCCAGACUCCUACGGAGGCAGCAGUGGGGAAUAUUGCACAAUGGGCGCAAGCCUGAUGCAGCCAUGCCGCGUGUGUGAAGAAGGCCUUCGGGUUGUAAAACUUUCAGCGGGAAGGCGCGUUAAUAACCUUGGCGAUUGACGUUCGCAGAAGAAGCACCGGCUAACUCCGUGCCAGCAGCCGCGGUAAUACGGAGGGUGCAAGCGUUAAUCGGAAUUACUGGGCGUAAAGCGCACGCAGGCGGUCUGUCAAGUCGGAUGUGAAAUCCCGGGCUCAACCCGAACUGCAUUCGAAACUGGCAGGCUAGAGUCUUGUAGAGGGGGUAGAAUCCGUGUGUAGCGGUGAAAUGCGUAGAGAUCUGGAGGAAUACCGGUGGCGAAGGCCCCCGACAAAGACUGACGCUCAGGUGCGAAAGCGUGGGGAGCAAACAGGAUUAGAUACCGGUAGUCCACGCCGUAAACGAUGUCGAUUUGGAGGUUGUGCCCUUGAGGCGUGGCUUCGGAGCUAACGCGUUAAAUCGACCGCCCGAGUACGGCCGCAAGGUUAAAACUCAAAUGAAUUGACGGGGCCCGCACAAGCGGUGGAGCAUGGUUUAAUUCGAUGCAACGCGAAGAACCUUACCCGGUCUUGACAUCCACAGAACUUUCCAGAGAUGGAUUGGUGCCUUCGGGAACUGUGAGACAGGUGCUGCAUGGCUGUCGUCAGCUCGUGUUGUGAAAUGUUGGGUUAAGUCCCGCAACGAGCGCAACCUUAUCCUUUGUUGCCAG